rnacentral:lncRNA from 1 species
AAGAGAGCAGCUAGCCACACAAGAAGCCUCUGAUGAGGCCUCCACUACCGCCACCGCCCCCCCGCUCAGCUCCACCACCACCACCACGCACCCAUCUCCUCCUCUCCGACGCGCGGCCAUGCACGAUCCCUCUCUUUCGCGCGCUCGCGCCACCUAUAAAUCCCCGCGCCCGCGCUCCCCACCCAUCUCCAAGCCUCCAAGCGCAACAACUUCCAACCGUCUCUAGCUUUUACCUUACCCCUCUCGAUCCUCUCUCGACUAGCUAGCUAGCGAGCUAGAUCGCGUCUCGUCGUCCGUCCUAGAUCACAGCGACAGCGACCUGGGAAUAUAUACUGCGCGGGCGGUACGUAGUGAUCGAUCGAUCCGUCCAAGAUUCACAAUUCAGCUCGGAGCUGCACGUACGCGCGAUUGAUCAUGG